rnacentral:SRP_RNA from 2 species
AGAUUGGUCCUGUGCGAUUGACGGCCGUGAAUCAUGUCAGGCGGGGAACCGAGCAGCAUUAAGCGGUUCGAAGAUGUGCCGCAGCAAACCUGUCUGCC